AGAGUUUGAUCAUGGCUCAGGAUGAACGCUAGCGGCAGGCUUAAUACAUGCAAGUCGAGGGGUAGCAUGAUUGUAGCAAUACAAUUGAUGACGACCGGCAAACGGGUGCGGAACACGUACACAACCUUCCUUCAAGUGGGGAAUAGCCCAGAGAAAUUUGGAUUAAUACCCCGUAACAUAACGAUAUGGCAUCAUAUUGUUAUUGUAGCUACGGCGCUUGUUGAUGGGUGUGCGGCUGAUUAGGUAGUUGGCGGGGUAACGGCCCACCAAGCCUUCGAUCAGUAGCUGAUGUGAGAGCAUGAUCAGCCACACGGGCACUGAGACACGGGCCCGACUCCUACGGGAGGCAGCAGUAAGGAAUAUUGGACAAUGGACGCAAGUCUGAUCCAGCCAUGCCGCGUGAAGGAUUAAGGUCCUCUGGAUUGUAAACUUCUUUUAUAGGGGACGAAAAAAGGGCAUUCUUGCUCACUUGACGGUACCCUAGAAUAGACCG
rnacentral:rRNA from 1 species